UAAAUGGUACAAAUAAUUAUUUUAUAGAUCGAAUGUUGGAAACGAAAUUUCAAAUUCAAAUUCAUUUUUUUCAAAUGGAACCAUAUAUUUUUCAUAGUACGAUGCCAUUUGUUAAUACAAAUUUAAUGAACUAUGAGCUUUGUGAUCUUGAGUGAAAAAAGUUUACAAAAUUUGGUGCAAUUGAUACAGAAUGAAAUAAUCAUUGAACCACUUUUUAUUGAUGGUAAUUUGAACGAUCACAAAUUCUAAUUUUCUAAGUAAAGUAUAGUUAUCCGUUAAUUUGAAUUGUAAGAAUGCAUGAGACAAAUUGGGUAAUUUGUUAGGAACAGUUAAGGCCAAGUCACAUUUGGUGACUUUAUCCGCCGCUAUCAUGUGACAGGUUAAUCGUCGCUACUAUUUCAAGUAACGGUUAUAAACGCUGGAGGUGAUUUGAAUUAAACAUGUUCAAUUCUACUUACCAGAAGCAUGCUAUUUUAGUGAUCAUGUGACCUAGUCGCUGUGAGAAAUUUCUGUAACCAUCGCAUGCGAUAAGCUGAUGUAGUGAAAGCAGAGAAGCGACUGGAAGCGUUCCAAGUCCCAUCGCUAGUAACUAUACGUGACAAGUUAAUAGUACUUAAUGUGACGAUUUAGUCGUUGCUUUUAACAGCGACGAGUAAAUUGGCCACGUGUAACAGCCAAAGAACCUGAGUGCUUCCAAAGAUUUUGGGAAGAAGUAUGUGAAAAUCGUUAAGGACACUUCGGAAGUGAGUUAUGCUACGCGAAAGUGAUACGUCUUUAUGGUUAUAUGCAUACUGUCGAACAGUCUAUCGACCAGUUGGUGACUAGAUCGACAAACGAUCUAAAAAACCAGGCGAUCAAAUUCGCCGAUCAAACGAAUCAAAGCGUUUUUGUGUUCGCCGGUGAUUCGCUGGUAUAGACCAGUGAACUGCAUUGAAUCAAAUGCACUCACCUGUAUCAUAAACAGAUUCUUUUAAGAUCAAAUACUGGCAAAUGUGUUCAAGAGGUCUAAGAUGACCGUCUUCACUGCCUAUAUGUAAAUUUGCCAUUGAGAUUAAAUAUUACGAUAUCGAUAAAUUCGAGUCGCAAAGUUUGGUCUUCUGCUUUUCUGUGACUGAUUGUUGGCAACCUGCUUACCGCUGACAAUCGGUAAUGCACACAUUUUCUAAAUUUGUUUUUUUUUUAUGUUUGUUCCUUUUACUAUACUUCUAUAUAGAUAUAUAUCCGUCUAUAUAAAUUAAAUUCAAUAUUUUAAUUAAUUUAUACGUCCACGACUUUAUUAUAAAAGAAAAUUUUUCAACUGAAAUUGAAUAUCAAAAUAGUCUGUAAAUUGUUUUUAAAUUCUGUAAUAUUGAAUACCGUUUCUUUGGAAGUUAGUAUUGCAGCGUGUAAGUACUUGUUUCGAAACCCGACUGCUGUAAUUUUUUAAAAGGAAUAGGUUUACAGAUUUAAAUUUUAAUAUCAAUAUGAGUAGUAAUAAUUAAUUAUUAAUAAGGAUCAAAUUGUUAUAAAUGCCGAGAAUUGCUUUAUAUCAUUAAUUUGCGCAUUCCUUACAUCAUUAUUGAUGGUAAUACGCAAAGUAAGCAUAAAGUAAACGUUAAAUUAGCGCAACGUAAACGCAAAAUAAAUACAAGGUUAGUGCACAAUAAGCACAAAAUGAAUGCAGAAUGCAUGGUAUAGACUAUAAGGUAAAAGUAGAACGAGGGUAUAAAGUAAACGCAGAAUAUGUGAUAUAAGAUAAGCGCAGAACGAUAGCGUAAGGUAAGUACAGAAUAAUGGUAUAAGAGAUGCGCGAUAUAAUGAUGUAAGGGAUGCAUAAAAUGAUGGUGUAAGGAAUACGCGAGUAUAAUGCGAAUACGCGAAUAUGCGAGUAUGCGAUUGAACAUUUAUGAGGAUUCAAAUUGUCAUCGAUAAAAAGUUGAACGAUUAUUUCACUUUGUAUUAAUUGUCCAAAUUUUGUAAAUUUUGUUUCAUUCAAUUAUAGUAAUAUAGUCCGUUGAAUUUGUUUCAAAAAUCAUUUUAUAUAAGAAAAAUAUAUGAUUUCAUUUAAAAGAA